rnacentral:rRNA from 1 species
CGGAUCUCGAAAGCCUGUCCCAGUUCGGACUGGAGUCUGCAACCCGACUCCACGAAGUUGGAUUCGCUAGUAAUCGCGCAUCAGCCAUGGCGCGGUGAAUACGUUCCCGGGCCUUGUACACACCGCCCGUCAAGCCAUGGGAGCCGAGGGCGCCUGAAGUCCGGGACCGCGAGGACCGGCCUAGGGCGAAACUGGUAACUGGGGCUAAGUCGUAACAAGGUAAC